GAUGAACGCUGGCGGCGUGCCUAACACAUGCAAGUCGAGCGAACAGACGAGGAGCUUGCUCCUUUGACGUUAGCGGCGGACGGGUGAGUAACACGUGGAUAACCUACCUAUAAGACUGGGAUAACUACGGGAAACCGGAGCUAAUACCGGAUAAUAUAUUGAACCGCAUGGUUCAAUAGAGAAUGACGGCUUUGGUGUCUCUUAUAGAUGGAUCCGCGCCGCAUUAGCUAGUUGGUAAGGUAACGGCUUACCAAGGCAACGAUGCGUAGCCGAGCUGAGAGGGUGAUCGGCCACACUGGAACUGAGACACGGUCCAGACUCCUACGGGAGGCAGCAGUAGGGAAUCUUCCGCAAUGGGCGAAAGCCUGACGCAGCAACGCCGCGUGAGUGAUGAAGGUCUUCGGAUCGUAAAACUCUGUUAUUGGGGAAGAACAGAUGUGUAAGUAACUAUGCACGUCUUGACGGUACCUAAUCAGAAAGCCCCGGCUAACUACGUG
rnacentral:rRNA from 1 species